UAGGGAAUCUUCGGCAAUGGACGAAAGUCUGACCGAGCAACGCCGCGUGAGUGAAGAAGGUUUUCGGAUCGUAAAACUCUGUUGUUAGAGAAGAACAAGGACGUUAGUAACUGAACGUCCCCUGACGGUAUCUAACCAGAAAGCCACGGCUAACUACGUGCCAGCAGCCGCGGUAAUACGUAGGUGGCAAGCGUUGUCCGGCUUUAUUGGGCGUAAAGCGAGCGCAGGCGGUUUCUUAAGUCUGAUGUGAAAGCCCCCGGCUCAACCGGGGAGGGGCAUUGGAAACUGGGAGACUUGAGUGCAGAAGAGGAGAGUGGAAUUCCAGGUGUAGCGGUGAAAUGCGUAGAUAUAUGGAGGAACACCAGUGGCGAAGGCGGCUCUCUGGUCUGUAACUGACGCUGAGGCUCGAAAGCGUGGGGAGCAAACAGG
rnacentral:rRNA from 1 species